UACGGAGGGUGCAAGCGUUAUCCGGAUUCAUUGGGUUUAAAGGGUGCGUAGGCGGACUAUUAAGUCAGUGGUGAAAGCCUGCAGCUUAACUGCAGAACUGCCAUUGAUACUGAUAGUCUUGAGUUUGGUUAAGGUAGGCGGAAUGUGUAAUGUAGCGGUGAAAUGCUUAGAUAUUACACAGAACACCAAUUGCGUAGGCAGCUUACUGAGCCGACACUGACGCUGAGGCACGAAAGCGUGGGGAUCGAACAGGA
rnacentral:rRNA from 1 species